AGAGAGAGGAAAGAGGGAGCUACAGUCGAGAGGAAAGAGGGAGCUACAUUAGAGAGGAAAGAUGGAGCUACAGUAGAGAGAGGAAAGAGGGAGCUACAGUAGAGAGAGGAAAGAGGGAGCUGCAGUAGAGAGAGGAAAGAGGGAGCUGCAGUAGAGAGAGGAAAGAGGGAGCUGCAGUAGAGAGAGGAAAGAGGUAGCUGCAGUAGAGAGAGGAAAGAGGUAGCUGCACAAGAGAGAGGAAAGAGGGAGCUACAGUAGAGAGAGGAAAGAGGGAGCUGCAGUAGAGAGAGGAAAGAGGGAGCUACAGUAGAGAGAGGAAAGAGGGAGCUGCAGUAGAGAGAGGAAAGAGGGAGCUGCAGUAGAGAGAGGAAAGAUGGAGCUACAGUAGAGAGAGGAAAGAGGGAGCUGCAGUAGAGAGAGGAAAGAGGGAGCUACAGUAGAGAGGGGAAAGAGGGAGCUGCAGUAGAGAGAGGAAAGAGGUAGCUGCACAAGAGAGAGGAAAGAGGGAGCUACAGUAGAGAGAGGAAAGAGGUAGCUGCACAAGAGAGAGGAAAGAGGGAGCUACAGUAGAGAGGAAAGAGGGAGAUUCAGUAGAGAGAGGAAAGAGGGAGCUGCAGUAGAGAGAGGAAAGAGGGAGCUACAGUCGAGAGGAAAGAGGGAGCUACAUUAGAGAGGAAAGAUGGAGCUACAGUAGAGAGAGGAAAGAGGGAGCUACAGUAGAGAGAGGAAAGAGGGAGCUGCAGUAGAGAGAGGAGAGAGGGAGCUGCAGUAGAGAGAGGAGAGAGGGAGCUGCAGUAGAGAGAGGAAAGAGGGACCUGCAGUAGAGAGAGGAAAGAGGUAGCUGCAGUAGAGAGAGGAAAUAGGGAGCUACAGUAGAGAGAGGAAAGAGGGAGCUACAGUAGAGAGAGGAAAGAGGGAGCUACAGUAGAGAGAGGAAAGAGGGAGCUGCAGUAGAGAGAGGAAAGAGGGAGCUGCAGUAGAGAGAGGAAAGAGGGAGCUGCAGUAGAGAGAGGAAAGAGGGAGCUACAGUCGAGAGGAAAGAUGGAGCUGCAGUAGAGAGAGUAAAGAGGGAGCUACAGUAGAGAGAGGAAAGAGGGAGCUGCAGUAGAGAGAGGAAAGAGGGAGCUACAGUAGAGAGGGGAAAGAGGGAGCUGCAGUAGAGAGAGGAAAGAGGGAGCUGCAGUAGAGAGAGGAAAGAGGUAGCUGCACAAGAGAGAGGAAAGAGGGAGCUACAGUAGAGAGAGAGGAAAGAGGGAGCUGCAGUAGAGAGGAAAGAUGGAGCUACAGUAGAGAGGAAAGAUGGAGCUGCAGUAGAGAGAGGAAAGAGGGAGCUACAGUAGAGAGAGGAAAGAGGGAGCUACAGUAGAGAGAGGAAAGAGGGAGCUACAGUAGAGAGAGGAAAGAGGGAGCUGCAGUAGAGAGAGGAAAGAGGGAGCUACAGUAGAGAGAGGAAAGAGGUAGCUGCAGUAGAGAGAGGAAAGAGGUAGCUGCACAAGAGAGAGGAAAGAGGGAGCUACAGUAGAGAGAGGAAAGAGGGAGCUGCAGUAGAGAGAGGAAAGAGGGAGCUACAGUAGAGAGGAAAGAUGGAGCUGCAGUAGAGAGAGUAAAGAGGGAGCUACAGUAGAGAGAGGAAAGAGGGAGCUGCAGUAGAGAGAGGAAAGAGGGAGCUACAGUAGAGAGGGGAAAGAGGGAGCUGCAGUAGAGAGAGGAAAGAGGGAGCUGCAGUAGAGAGAGGAAAGAGGUAGCUGCACAAGAGAGAGGAAAGAGGGAGCUACAGUAGAGAGAGGAAAGAGGGAGCUGCAGUAGAGAGGGGAAAGAGGGAGCUACAGUAGAGAGAGGAAAGAGGGAGCUGCAGUAGAGAGAGGAAAGAGGGAGCUACAGUAGAGAGGGGAAAGAGGGAGCUGCAGUAGAGAGAGGAAAGAGGGAGCUGCAGUAGAGAGAGGAAAGAGGUAGCUGCACAAGAGAGAGGAAAGAGGGAGCUACAGUAGAGAGAGGAAAGAGGGAGCUGCAGUAGAGAGAGGAAAGAGGGAGCUACAGUAGAGAGGAAAGAGGGAGCUACAGUAGAGAGAGGAAAGAGGGAGCUGCAGUAGAGAGAGGAAAGAGGGAGCUACAGUCUAGAGGAAAGAGGGAGCUACAGUAGAGAGGAAAGAUGGAGCUAGAGUAGAGAGAGGAAAGGAUGAGCUGCAGUAGAGAGAGGAAAGAGGGAGUUGCAGUAGAGAGAGGAAAGAGGUAGCUGUACAAGAGAGAGGAGAGAGGGAGCUGCAGUAGAGAGAGGAAAGAGGGAGCUGCAGUAGAGAGAGGAAAGAGGGAGCUACAGUAGAGAGAGGAAAGGAUGAGCUGCAGUAGAGAGAGGAAAGAGGGAGUUGCAGUAGAGAGAGGAAAGAGGUAGCUGCACAAGAGAGAGGAGAGAGGGAGCUGCAGUAGAGAGAGGAAAGAGGGAGCUGCAGUAGAGAGAGGAAAGAGGGAGCUACAGUAGAGAGAGGAAAGAGGGAGCUGCAGUAGAGAGAGGAAAGAAGGAGCUACAGUAGAGAGGAAAGAGGGAGCUUCAGUAGAGAGAGGAAAGAGGGAGCUGCAGUAGAGAGAGGAAAGAGGGAGCUACAGUCGAGAGGAAAGAGGGAGCUACAUUAGAGAGGAAAGAUGGAGCUACAGUAGAGAGAGGAAAGAGGGAGCUACAGUAGAGAGAGGAAAGAGGGAGCUGCAGUAGAGAGAGGAAAGAGGGAGCUGCAGUAGAGAGAGGAAAGAGGGAGCUGCAGUAGAGAGAGGAAAGAGGUAGCUGCAGUAGAGAGAGGAAAGAGGUAGCUGCACAAGAGAGAGGAAAGAGGGAGCUACAGUAGAGAGAGGAAAGAGGGAGCUGCAGUAGAGAGAGGAAAGAGGGAGCUACAGUAGAGAGAGGAAAGAGGGAGCUGCAGUAGAGAGAGGAAAGAGGGAGCUGCAGUAGAGAGAGGAAAGAUGGAGCUACAGUAGAGAGAGGAAAGAGGGAGCUGCAGUAGAGAGAGGAAAUAGGGAGCUACAGUAGAG